AGUGAACGCUGGCGGUAGGCCUAACACAUGCAAGUCGAACGGCAGCACAGGAGAGCUUGCUCUCUGGGUGGCGAGUGGCGGACGGGUGAGGAAUACAUCGGAAUCUACUCUGUCGUGGGGGAUAACGUAGGGAAACUUACGCUAAUACCGCAUACGACCUACGGGUGAAAGCAGGGGACCUUCGGGCCUUGCGCGAUUGAAUGAGCCGAUGUCGGAUUAGCUAGUUGGCGGGGUAAAGGCCCACCAAGGCGACGAUCCGUAGCUGGUCUGAGAGGAUGAUCAGCCACACUGGAACGGAGACACGGUCCAGACUCCUACGGGAGGCAGCAGUGGGGAAUAUUGGACAAUGGGCGCAAGCCUGAUCCAGCCAUACCGCGUGGGUGAAGAAGGCCUUCGGGUUGUAAAGCCCUUUUGUUGGGAAAGAAAUCCAGCUGGCUAAUACCCGGUUGGGAUGACGGUACCCAAGGAAUAAGCACCGGCUAACUUCGUGCCAGCAGCCGCCGUAA
rnacentral:rRNA from 1 species